GUUUAAAUCAAAAUGGCGGAGAGGCGUUCCUAGCAACCUAUUACGGUCUUCGUUGAUUUUUUCCCCGCUUUUUGUUGAAACUUUAUCGCGUGUGUCUAGGUCUGGAUGUAACAAGGGGGGUCAGGUCGGAGGGAUGAAACGAGACCAGACCACCUCUGGGACCACGGAUGGCCCCUCCUGGUUCAAUAGAAUGAAAGCGCUAGAGAUCACGGGGGAAAACCUGGAGGAUCUGCUGGCUUAUGACGAUCUCUUCCUGGAUUACUUCAAUGCUUUUUUGUCCUUGCCAGUUUUCCCCCAGCCUUUGAGGUACAAUCGUCUAACCGGUGAUUUCGAAGAUGCCUCCAAGCAUCUUCACAGGGAUUCCUCCAGUGUAAGUUCAUCGUCCAGUGAAGGCAACAAUUUACCUUACGGAACCACAGACAGUGAAAGGGAUAAGCUUCUGGAAUGGGCAAGGGAAGAGCGACUACCUCUCUUUCUCAGUACACAGUUAUUCAGGGAAUUCAAACUAUGCAAACUCUUGUUACGGCCACUGGAUGACAGAUAUUCGGCUAGUCGUAAUUCCAGUAACCAGUUACGAGGUUACAGCCGUCAGUCAGAGAGUUACGUUUCCAGCCUCAGUAACAGUGCUGACAACAGCGGCCACGAUGAAAUUGACGAGGAGGAGAUGGCCGCCAUGCAGAGUCAGUUCCAGAACUCCACACUGUUCAAGUAUCAGCGCCCUGGGAGCAGGGCCGUCAGUAUGCCCACAAGGCUAGACUUUGAAGCUGAGUUCUAUGUCCAAGGAAGCACAGCCACCCCAGGGACCCAAGAACCCCCACCCUCAGAAACCAUGCCCAAAAGUGCCUCCUUCAAGAAGAAAAUCAGGGAAAUAUCUGACAACGAUAAAGAGGAAGACAUUCCAGAGAGGAAACCAUCAGUUGUCAAGUUUGAUCCCGUGACCAGCGAUGUAAAAAAUAAGCGCUCUGCACAAAAAGAGAGGCGACAGAAAUCAGAGGCAGAAGAAGCAUUUAUGAGGCAUGCUAGAGUCCUCUCGGCACCUCUGAACUAUGCUGACUACAUGCGGCACCCGAUGUUUGGGGAUUUUGAUUUUCUGUUCGGUGAAGAUGAGCCUGACCCAGAUGGGCGGGUGUAUGUCUCAUUCCAAGACGAACGCGUCAGUGAGGAACAGACUGAGACUGACGUCAAAAACAUGGAAGGCAGGCUGAAAAUGUCACUUCAGCAACUGAAGGAGCAAGUGCUAGGAAAGCAAAAUAGUAUGGAAGGCUUCAAAGAGUUUCUGUCAGAUACAGCUGGUAUUCAUCUACUGAAUUUCUGGCUAGACUGUGAAUAUUUCAAAGAUGCUAUGGAGAACUUUGAUGAGAUCGUUAACAUGGAUAUCAGGAAUCGUCUGUUCAGGGAUAUCCAGGACAAAUACAAGCUGAAUUUGACAGAGGAGGCGCGUGAUCAGAUCACCAAGGCCUCUUGUAACUCCUCCCUCAGUCACACGGUCUUUAUUCGAACGCAGUACGAUGUCCUGCGGAGACUGCGAGCUUACUGGGUACCCAGAUAUCUCAUCCACAUGGAGCGGCUACGUGAGCUCAGAGCCAUUGGUAGUGUAAUGGGUAUCAAGGGUAUCAGAGUAGAUAACUCUUCCCGGAAAAUCACGCCUUUCCUGCCGUCCAUCUCUCUAGUCAACUCCAUGCCUGUCCGUCCAGACGAUGUACUAACCUACUCCAAGACCAAGAGCUGGGACUUCCUGAGUAAGGGAGGACGGGAGUCCGCUCAUUGACAAGGACCUCUUCUUCUACAUAGAGGUCCAGAAGUUCAAGGAUGCCAACCAUGCUCACUCGGAUGAGGAACUUCUGAGAAAGAAAGUGCAAUCCAUUAUGGAGUGUUUCUUGGAUUCUGUGACUAGCCCCACACUACAGGUUGACAUAACACCUCAACUUCAAGAAAAAUCCAUCAAGGCGGCUCAGAGAUACUUGGCCGGUAAGGAUGUGGUGGCUAACCUGUUUGACGAGGCCCAGCUGGCGGUGUUUAAAGAGCUGCUCCCGUACUGGGCUGGGUUUAGGCGUGGCUUCCAGCCCCCGGAGGAUCCUGCAAAGAGACCAGUGACAAAAUACCAGAAGAUGCUAAAGAAGAGGCUGGACAACAUUGAGAACUAUGAGAUUCCCAAGGAGGACUUCACCUUCCCUUCAAUCCCAGAUGGAUCUAUUGCUGCUUAUACCUUCUCCUUGUCCGACGGAGUCCGAUGGAGGGAAGUGUCAUCUGAUGAAGCAGGAAGCAUUCUAGGAAGUCCAAUGGACCGUUCCGAAACAGCCACCACUAGAGGGGGAACCAGUCAGAAAACAUUAGACCAGCUCAAAAAGAGGCGGAAAUCCCACAGUUUACUAAGUGUACCACCAGGUGGCGUCAUGACGAGGAAUAACACAGAGUCGAGUACCAGCAUAUCAGUGAAGGAGUGAGGACGUCGGGUGAUAUUUGUGCUACUGAUUGUUUUAUGUGAUAUCUUGAGCUUUACGGACCUGGUGUGAUAUCUCAAGUCUUUCUUUGUUUAUUGCUUAAUAUUUUAUUAUUCUUAUUGAUAAUAAAAUGAAAUAUUGUUAUAUUU
rnacentral:misc_RNA from 1 species